rnacentral:lncRNA from 10 species
AUUUUGUAAGGUCCUGUUUUUCCCAUCUGUGCAGGAUGGCAAAGGUCACAAGACAUGCCUGAGUUACAAGACCUGUCACAGUUUAACUGCGUUUGUUCUGCUUCUGUAAGCUUGCUUUCCCCACCCCACAAGUUUUGCACCACAGGCCAACACCCUUUGGUCACAUGAAUAAAAGUCAAGCCCUUUCUUUGCUCAUUGCUCAGCCUCUGGGUAUUAAUCUGCUGAGCUGGUGGCCACCUAAAUACAAUCGUCCUGUUCCCCUCAUUGGUCUCUCCGGUCUCCUGAUUCCAGCCACAUUUUGGUGAGCCAGCCAGGAGUGAAGACGACAGGUUUGCUGUCUCCUUUGCCUGUGGGUCUGGGGCCCCAGCCUGGGGGAGACCCGUGACUCCAGGCAUGCUAUCAGGACAACUUCAACCCGAGGGGAGAUCAGCUCUCCCGCAACCUGGUGCCGCUCUCUGACAGCACAACAGAACCUAAGGGGCUACAGGAUGAUUCAAGGAACAGUGUGCUACAGGACCUCGUAGAAAUGUGCUACAACCACUCAAGGUCUGCAAACAGAUUCCUAUUUAGAUGUUGUUGAGAGAUGGGGUCUCGCUCUGUCCUGGAGUGCAAUGGCACGAUCUUGGCUCACUGCAACCUCCGCCUCCCAGGUUCAAGCAAUUCUCCUGCCUCAGCCUCCCGAGUAGCUGGGACUACAGGCACACGCCAACACGCCAGGCUAAUUUUUUGUAUUUUUAAUAGAGAUGGAGUUUCACCAUGUUCCCCAGGCUGGUCUUGAACUCCUGAGCUCAGGCAAUCCACCUUCCUCUGCCUCCCAAAGUGCUAGGAUUACAGGCGUGAGCCACCGCGCCCGGUCUAUUUAUUUUCUUAACAGGGUAUUUUGCUAAGAAGUUUUACAUUUUGGUGAAGUCUAGUUUUUCCAUUUUUUUAUUAUGCUUAUUAUUUCUUAUGACUUCAGAUUUCCUUCCCUUCACUUAAUUAAUGGAGGUAUUGUAGUAUGAUUUCUUUUACCUUGUAUUUUGAAAUUUUACCUUUUACUCUGUGGUCCAUCUUGAAUUAUCUUUUAUGUAUGAUGUGAGGAUGUGAGAUUACUUUUCUUCAUAUGAAAAUGCAAUUUUUCCACCUUCCAUUCUUGAAGAAAUUAACUUUCCCCAUUUGACUGUUUUGGUGUAUUGGACAGUAAGUUUAAAAAUAUGUUUUAAAAAGUAUUUGCCAUGUUUAAAAAAUGUUUAGAAAGAAAGGCCACAUUCUUGUCUUUUUCCUUAUCUUAGAGGAAAAGGCUUCAACUUUUCACAUUGAGUAUGAUGUUAGCUGUUGGAUUGUCAUACAUGGAUUUUCUUGUUGGUGAACUUUUCUUCUAUACCUAAUUUGUAAUUGAUAAUAAUAAUAUAUUGUUUAUAUCAAAACAGCUAAAAAAGGGAUUUUAAAUGCUCUCACCACAAAGAAAUGAUAGUAUUUGGGUGGGAUAAAUAUGUUAAUUGACCAUAUUUGAUUAUUCCACAAUGUACAUGUAACAAAACACCACAUUGUACCCCAUAAAUAUAUAAAAUUAUUAUUUGCAAUUAGAAAUAAAAUAUAACUUAAAAAAGAAAAUCCAUAACUCCUUUCUAUAAUUUAUGAAUGUAUGUCAAAAGUCUUAAAUUUGGUUUUAAAUAUCUUGCUGUAACUGAUCUUUACUGUCUAUUUACAGGUCACUAGACAUCCUGCUCCAGGUGUAAUUAUGCUAUUAACACAAACAACAGCUGGCUCACAUGUACUAAGCUCACAUGUACUAAGCUCACUUGUACUAGCAGCUCAUUGAGCCCACAUGUACUAAGCAGCGUGAUAAGUACUUGUAUAUGCAGUAUGUCAUAUACAGGCAAUAAUUUUA